rnacentral:rRNA from 1 species
AGACCCGAAACCCGGUGAUCUAGCCAUGGGCAGGUUGAAGGUUGGGUAACACUAACUGGAGGACCGAACCGACUAAUGUUGAAAAAUUAGCGGAUGACCUGUGGCUGGGGGUGAAAGGCCAAUCAAACCGGGAGAUAGCUGGUUCUCCCCGAAAGCUAUUUAGGUAGCGCCUCGUGAAUUCAUCUCCGGGGGUAGAGCACUGUUUCGGCUAGGGGGCCAUCCCGGCUUACCAACCCGAUGCAAACUGCGAAUACCGGAGAAUGUUAUCACGGGAGACACACGGCGGGUGCUAACGUCCGUCGUGAAGAGGGAAACAACCCAGACCGCCAGCUAAGGUCCCAAAGUCAUGGUUAAGUGGGAAACGAUGUGGGAAGGCCCAGACAGCCAGGAUGUUGGCUUAGAAGCAGCCAUCAUUUAAAGAAAGCGUAAUAGCUCACUGGUCAAGUCGGCCUGCGCGGAAGAUGUAACGGGGCUAAACCAUGCACCGAAGCUGCGGCAGCGAACGUAUCACCCAAGACAACUUUACGGAGUUGACGAUUGACGGAGCGAAGCGACGUCAAAGCGUUCAUUAAAGUCGAGUUGGCUUAGGGAUACGUUCGUUGGGUAGGGGAGCGUUCUGUAAGCCUGUGAAGGUGUGUCGUGAGGCAUGCUGGAGGUAUCAGAAGUGCGAAUGCUGACAUAAGUAACGAUAAAGCGGGUGAAAAGCCCGCUCGCCGGAAGACCAAGGGUUCCUGUCCAACGUUAAUCGGGGCAGGGUGAGUCGACCCCUAAGGCGAGGCCGAAAGGCGUAGUCGAUGGGAAACGGGUUAAUAUUCCCGUACUUGGUGUUACUGCGAAGGGGGGACGGAGAAGGCUAUGUUGGCCGGGCGACGGUUGUCCCGGUUUAAGCGUGUAGGUGUGUGUUCCAGGUAAAUCCGGUUCACUUUAACACUGAGGCGUGACGACGAGGCACUACGGUGCUGAAGCAACAAAUGCCCUGCUUCCAGGAAAAGCCUCUAAGCAUCAGGUAACACGAAAUCGUACCCCAAACCGACACAGGUGGUCAGGUAGAGAAUACCAAGGCGCUUGAGAGAACUCGGGUGAAGGAACUAGGCAAAAUGGUGCCGUAACUUCGGGAGAAGGCACGCUGACACGUAGGUGAAGUGAUUUACUCAUGGAGCUGAAGUCAGUCGAAGAUACCAGCUGGCUGCAACUGUUUAUUAAAAACACAGCACUGUGCAAACACGAAAGUGGACGUAUACGGUGUGACGCCUGCCCGGUGCCGGAAGGUUAAUUGAUGGGGUCAGCGUAAGCGAAGCUCCUGAUCGAAGCCCCGGUAAACGGCGGCCGUAACUAUAACGGUCCUAAGGUAGCGAAAUUCCUUGUCGGGUAAGUUCCGACCUGCACGAAUGGCGUAAUGAUGGCCAGGCUGUCUCCACCCGAGACUCAGUGAAAUUGAACUCGCUGUGAAGAUGCAGUGUACCCGCGGCAAGACGGAAAGACCCCGUGAACCUUUACUAUAGCUUGACACUGAACAUUGAGCCUUGAUGUGUAGGAUAGGUGGGAGGCUUUGAAGUGUGGACGCCAGUCUGCAUGGAGCCGACCUUGAAAUACCACCCUUUAAUGUUU